UACGUAGGGUGCAAGCGUUGUCCGGAAUUAUUGGGCGUAAAGAGCUCGUAGGCGGUUUGUCGCGUCGGCCGUGAAAGUCCGGGGCUCAACUCCGGAUCUGCGGUGGGUACGGGCAGACUAGAGUGAUGUAGGGGAGACUGGAAUUCCUGGUGUAGCGGUGAAAUGCGCAGAUAUCAGGAGGAACACCGAUGGCGAAGGCAGGUCUCUGGGCAUUAACUGACGCUGAGGAGCGAAAGCAUGGGGAGCGAACAGG
rnacentral:rRNA from 1 species